GUUGUGAUGCAAUAACAAACAACCCCAUAUUCUCAUAACAAAAGAUAUUUAUCUUUUGUUCAUAUUGUGUACAUCAUGAAUUGGCUGCUAUUUCAUGCAGACCCAAGGAAUAGGCCCUGUUUGUUACAUGGAGGUGUCACAGUGAAGGAAAAGAGCAAAGGUAGAAAGAUCAGAUGGCUCUUUGGUUCUGCUUGGAAUUGGUACAUAUCGCCUAUGCUCACCCUCUAUUAGCCAGUGGAAGUCAAUGGCCAAGGCAAAUUGCAAAUUCCUUUUAUAAGCUCCACAGGCACAGGGAGCAAAUAUUCUAGACAACAGUAUAGGCUGUUUAAAGGAGUCUGUCUUUGCCCUCAAAGUCAUGACCCUCAGAGCCAGGGGCUUGGCCUUGAAUCAUUACCUUUUCAAGAAGUUUUUGUCAAGACACAAAGGAAGACCAUACAGAGAAAGAGUUAAAGAGGGAAAAUUGUUGGAUUCUGAUAACUGGCUUGAUGAGCAGCAGGGGUGGAUGCUAAUAAAGUCCAAGAGAAAACAGAAGUUCAGGGGUGACUUCUAAGAUCCCACCUUGGGCGAUUGAUGAAUAAGAGUAGCUACAAUUGAGGUUGCUGCAGAAGGGGCUGCUGUUGCGAGGUCGCAGCUUGCUGGUCAGGCCUGGUCCAGCCUUACAGUGCCUGCUGUCAAGCACAAGCUCGCUGUCUUCAGCAUCUGCCCAGUUACCAUGCUUUUAAAUCCAGCUCCUAAGUCUGAGGUUUACAUCUGGGAGUGGGAAGACAUUUAUGUAAACGGGACUUCUCAUUGCUGCUGGAAAAGGAGAAUGCUGGAGAGUAGCCCAACGACUGCCCGGAAACCUACACUGUGGACACCGCUAGGAGUCUCAAAACCCUGACAGACCAACAGGCAGGAGCUCUCGCUAUGUGAAGGGUGGCCACUCUUCACUCCAGCGUCAGAGAAGACAGAAACCCAGAUCUGCCUCGAGCUUAGCAACCUGACUGGAAUGAACUGGUAUUAUGGAACCCCUGUGAAGUGAGGGUACCAGAAUCCUCAGCGUCUCUGUAUUUGUGUUAGGUUGGAGUCUGCACCCAUAGGUCCCCUCUGGUGGCCACAUCCC
rnacentral:lncRNA from 1 species